CCUACGGGUGACUGCAGUGGGGAAUCUUGCACACUGGGGGAAACCCUGAUGCAGCAACGCCGCGUGAGUGUGGAAGUAUUUCGGUAUGUAAAGCCCUAUCAGCAGGGAAUAGAAAAGAAGGGACUAGAUAAAGCAGCCCCGGCUAACUACGUGCCAGCAGCCGCGGUAAUACGUAGGGGGCAAGCGUUAUCCGGAUGUACUGGGUGUAAAGGGAGCGUAGACGGAAAGGCAAGUCAGAAGUGAAAACCCAAGGCUCAACCAUGGGACUGCUUUUGAAACUGUCAAACUAGAGUACGGGAGAGGUAAGAGGAAUGCCUAGUGUAGCGGUGAAAUGCGUAGAUAUUAGGAGGAACACCAGUGGCGAAGGCGUCUUACUGGACCGAAACUGACGUUGAGGCUCGAAAGCGUGGGGAGCAAACAGGAUUAGAUACCCGAGUAGUC
rnacentral:rRNA from 1 species